GAUCAUAGUAUGAUGCUGCAUGUAUGAAUAUGUCACAAUGAAACCCAUCCUUCUGCAUGAUUAAAAUACACUAAAAAGAAGUAUUUAUUGGAUGUCUAUUAUGAAUCAUACAUUGUUCUGGAUUCCUGGAAUAUAUCACUGAGCAAUAAUGAAAUCCUUGUCCUUGUCAACUGUGGUGGGUUGAUUACCAAAGUGCUUUUCCUUGGAACCUCAGCAUGUACCUUGUUUGGAAACAGGGACUUUGUAGAUAUAAGAAAGGUGCAGAUCUUCCUGGAUGACCAGAUGGGCUCAGAAGCCAGUGAUAAUUAUCCCUAAGCAACUCAGUGAGACCCUAUCUCUAAAUAAAAUAGAAAAUGGGGUUGGGGAUGUGGUUCAGUGGUCAAGAACCUCUGAGUUCAAUCCCUGGUACCAAAAUAAAUAAAUAAAUAAAUAAAUAAAUAAAUAAAAAGAGAGAGAGAGAGAAUAGGAGACACAGACAAACAUACAGAUUGAAGGUCAUGUGGAGAUGGGGCAGAGGUAAGAAUUAUGCUGCCGCAAGCAAGUGAAGAAAUUAGGAUGUGCCAUCUCCAGAUGUGCUGGAUUGGCAUAUGGAUUAUUUCAGUCAGCUAUCACCGGAAGUAUUAGACUUUUAGAAAGAGCCAUUUGCCCUGUCUUUCCCUAUAUGCAGCAGGGCAUAAGGCUCCCUAUAUGCAGAGGGAUGUCCUGUUAUGGGCCAGGCUCUAUGGACAAUGACCAGACUCCAUUUACCCUGAGACUCCAUAUCAUGUAAGAAAUGCUUCUCCCACGGGAAAGCCCCACCUCUGUACCCAUUAAUAGUUACCUAUCAUAACAUACUUGGCAACACAAAAUAGCAAUUCUUAUAAAUGUAAAAUUGUUCUCUUUGAUUUCCAUUUUUCUUGGGCAAUGUACCUUGUCAGACAUUGAUUGUCUAGACGUUAAUAACCAUUCUCUCACGGCUACUGAACUAGGGUCAUUUUGACACCCACCCCCCCGCCUUCUACUUGCUUGCUGCUAUGCCAACCUGGAAAGUCCCGUGGGAAAUACCAAUGUCCCCAUUGUAUUGUCUCCCUAACUGCCCAAUUCAGCUUCUGUACCUGCUUGUUUGCAGCUACGUCAACCCAGAUGUGGUUUUUGCCUUUAAAUAUCCUAAAAUGCUCAGGCUCCGGGCUGUUCCUUGCAGAAGCAGUUAUGGGUCUUGCAGGGAGUAGUCGCCCGCUGGCCGGCUAAAUAAAGACUCUUCAAUUUGUACAAAACUAGGACUUGGUGUGUUUCCUGAGUGACUUGCCCCACAACACUGCACACACCAUGGCUGGAGAAUAGCCUUAUCACCAGAGCCUGGUAACAGGACUGCAGUGAACCAGAAUAAACAAACUCUGAAGGGACCCUCAGCUUCCACUGGCUUCUGCACCCCCUUCUCUCUGUGGACUUCUAAUCCUUCUCUCUGUAUCUUUUGGUGACAUCCCUAGAAUUCACUAUCCUGGUCCAUUUGUCCUCAUUCCUUCUCAAAAUCAUUACUCCUUGUCUAAGAACAUUACAUUUUGGUUUUCAGAGUUCACUAUCCUGUGAAGAUUUAUUGUAUACAUACACAAUUAAUAAAGCCUCUGUACUUUUCUCUUGUUACUAAGCACACAUGCUAACUGGGUUCCUGGAUCCGGCCAAAAAGCCCACGUAAGACCUAAGUGAGGUACAGGAGCUCCCUCCAUCCCCAGCCAGGGGACAUUAGUAGUCAUGGACCCCACAAGAGGGAGGAGGCAGGAAGGUCCUCUCUUUUUCGGGGAAGCCUGGCUCUCCAAACACCUUGACUGGACUUCUAAUCCUUCUGGAUUUUGAGAGAAUCAAUUUCUGUCCCUUUUAAGCCACCAAUUUGUUCCAGCAGCCCCAGGAAACUAAGACCCCCAAGGAUUCACAGGGAUGAUGUGGGGGCAGGGCCUUCACGAGCUCCUGUUAGCACAUUUUAUGUGUGUGUGUGUGUGUGUGUGUGUGUGUGUGUGUGUGUGGUGCUGGGGAUUGAACCCAGGGUCUUGUGCAUGAGGCAAGUACUUUACCAACUGAGCUCUAUCCCCAGCAUGUCAGCCCGUUCUUGGUUGCACUUUGUAAAGUCAAGAUAAUGUCAUCUAACUCAGAGGUGGAUUCAUAGAUCAUGGAGAUUAAAUGCCCACAUAGUAGGUGCUUCAGAAUUGACAACGGUUACUACUAUGGCUUGCCUCCCCUGCCUAUGUGCACUCAAUGCCAAAGUUUU
rnacentral:lncRNA from 1 species